AAGGAUUUAGUUUAAUUAAAGUGUUUGGUUCACAUCCAACCAAUGUAAGGUUAAACCCUUGCAAUCCUUA
rnacentral:tRNA from 1 species